CUUGAGAUCUUGCAGGUCAAUUUGUCCCUCCUGUGGCCAUGAACUUGGAGCCCUAUUCUCUGGAGUAGAACUUUGUCAGGAAAACCUGAACUGCUGUCAGCGACAAAGCAAAGGAGAGGCUGAGACCCGCAAAGCCUGGAAAAGUUAACAUUGGAAGUGUUAUACAUCCUUGUUGGAUGUAGAGGCCGGGUUUUAAUUAAUCCAUUAUCUAAAAAAAAAAACUGGAAGCGUUCAUUGUUCAGCAUACUGAAAAUACCAUUGUAAGAUGAACAUGUUAAGGUGUAAUGGCUUAUGUACAUACAUACCUGGUGAGACUGCUCCUGGAGGAGCCAAAACAAGGAGCAGUGCUGCUGUUAGUAGUGUCAGGCUCUGCAGUGCUUCUACUCUUAUGAGAACCCACUCUUGCGCCGCAACUGUGUGGAAGAACAAUGUCGCGUCGGUAUCGAUAAGAAGUAGGUUAUUGCGGAUGAACCUGUCUGUUUCCCCAAAAGACCUGAUGGUCACCACAGCAAGAAUUGAUUCCGCCGCAUAGUUCAUGACUGGUGCCUUUGUUGUUCCAUUGAUUCUUGCUAGAUCUCUUGCUGAGGCCACGUAGUGCCUCGUCAAAGGUUUUAAAACAAACGUGAGAUCUUGAGUUCAGAAGGUAACAUUUGAUCUAUUUAUUCAUCUACUGGUUUAAUUAACGAUGGUAGUUGUUUGCAGCAAUUAGGGGACUGACCUGAACAUAUGCCACAGUAAUUGUAACUGGGAUUGCUACAAUUAGAACUUGCCAAGUUACAGCCCCUGUAACCAGUAUUGUUGUGAUGAGCUCACUAGCGCCAACGACGACAUAAGCCACGGAGUAAGGUAUGUCAAAGUCCAGGAUGCUUAAAUCUGAAGAUGCCUGCAGAGAAUAAAAGGGCUACAGUCAGUCCAUACCCUUGUCAAGAUUCUUCCAACCGGUGUUGAAUCAAAGAAAGACAUGGGGGCCUUGAACACAGAAUCCAUUAGGCCGGUAAAGAAUGCUUUGGAGGCCUUGAGCCCCAACUUAGCUGCAUAAAGGGUUCUGAUAUAGGCAAAGCAGCAGCUCAAGAUGGACAGCCCUGAAUAUGCCCCUACCAGGAGAGCACUACUGACGUUCAUCUGGACAGCCACUGCCAGCCAGAAUGUGGCCAUCAUCUGGAAGGAUGUGAAGAGCACCUGAGUAACACCCAUCACACAGAGAUGUGUGAUUCCCUUGGACACAUUGAUGUAGUCCUUAUAUGGCUUCCAUCCAAGAAGGUUGUCCUGAUGUAUUUUCAUCAGUCACAUUUUGCUCCUGGACUUGGCUUUGCUGGCUGGAAUCAUCCAAUGCUGUGAUUGAGGACUUGUGAGCUGAGACAAGCUUCUCAAAUGCUGUCCCGGAUUCCAUUAGCUCUGCGUAAACACCUUGUUGUUUGACAUAACCAUCUUCCAUUACCUGUUGAAACAAUGGCAGAUCAUUCAUCUGAAGGAUCUUUGAUACCCUUUGAUAUGGCUAAAUGAUAGUCUGAAGAUCAACUUACCAGAAUCCGAUCAGUCUCGGUGAGAAAUUCAACCUGGGAGUGCAUCCAUGGAUGCAGGUCAAGGAGCACCUCUUACAUAGAACAGAACCGCAGCGGUGUGCGCAUCGACCGCGCUGAAAGGAUCAUCUAGGAGGUCUCCAUGGUCGAAGUUCUCGAAGGGCUUCCCGAAGAGGAUGUUGUCGCGAACAGUGCCACUCUAUCCAUGAGUUCUGGGAAACAUACGCCACUGUGCCAUACAACUCCACCUGAAAAUUGAUUGUAGUUUUGUCAUGUUCAUAUUUUAGAAAACAUAGAUUUGUCAUUGUCAUUUUUUUUUUUGUAUAUGAACAUGACAAGACAAUCUUGUGUUUUCUCCUUUCAUGGUAAAAUGAAAAGAAAGGAGAUAAAUAUAGAGUCGAAGAUUAUCUUGAGUCUUUUUUCAGGGGAAAGUAGAAAGUUUUUAGUGAUAAUGCCCUAUUGUUUUUGCAUGAAAUCUAAAUAAUUAUGAGAAAUUA